rnacentral:rRNA from 1 species
GUAGGUGGCAAGCGUUGUCCGGAAUUAUUGGGCGUAAAAGCGCGCGCAGGCGGUUCUUUAAGUCUGAUGUGAAAGCCCACGGCUCAACCGUGGAGGGUCAUUGGAAACUGGAGAACUUGAGUACAGAAGAGGAAAGCGGAAUUCCACGUGUAGCGGUGAAAUGCGUAGAGAGGUGGAGGAACACCAGUGGCGAAGGCGGCUUUCUGGUCUGUAACUGACGCUGAGGCACGAAAGCGUGGGGAGCAAACAGGAUUAGAUACCCUGGUAGUCCACGCCGUAAACGAUGAGUGCUAAGUGUUAGGGGGUUUUCCGCCCCCCUUAGUGCUGCAGCUAACGCAUUAAGCACUCCGCCCUGGGAGUACGGCCGCAAGGCUG